rnacentral:misc_RNA from 1 species
AAAAGGGGAAGAAAAUUUUCAUAUGUAGACCGUGUUGACAUAUUAUAGAUCCUUAGUAAACGUUAAUGUGUCCCUAUUCCCGGUCUUGGAAAAAAAUGAAUCACGCUAUACGCUAUUGCUUAAGCUUAGAAAUUCCAGAGAACGUUCAGUUUCUUCAACACAGUUGACUUGAUGAAGAAGAUUUUGAAUCCGAUCAACCCAUCUUUGCUUAUGGAUCUUGCUCUUGCACUUGAACUCUAGAAGACCCUGCGCAGUUUUAAGGCCAAAAUAUACUUCUUCAGAAUUUUCCCUUUCUUUUCUAUAUGGCCAUGCUGUAGUCUCAUCGCAGACCCCAUAAACAACGCAUUUGUGCUUCUUGGAGAAGGCUCCUCCAACGUGUUUGCUUUUGAUCUUAAUUAUGACCUGUAAUUUCUUGUUGAUGUAGACCGAAAUGUGUUUCCAUCGCAACACUCCUUUUCUUGUGUGUUGCAAUACUUCACCGACGCAGGGAGCCAGUUCUUCUACUUCACCAAUGUUAGCAGAACCCCAAUGAGUUUCUGCCAUUCCUCUCUCGUAAGGACUUAUAGAUGCAUUUUUUCUUGCUUCUUUCGGCAACCUUGCUUUUAGUGCUGCUUCUCCCCUCAAAGCUGUUGCAGCUGCUGCAGUAAGGGUCAUUAGAUCACCUGGACUCUGAAUGUCUACAGCUGAUCUCACAACAGAAGCCACACGAUCAUGAUCCGCUCCGGCUGAUUCUGCUAAUUCUAUGCAAUGUGAUGCCAAGAGUUCUGUAGCUGAGGCCAAAGCCAUACUCAUUUUAGAUCCAGAGUCACUAGAGUUUCCUUCGGCUGCCACAGCAGCCAAGGCUGCAGCUAGUCCAGCAACUGAUAUAGCAGAAUGCAUACGCGCAUUUUCCAUGCGUGCCUUAUCUUUCUUCUUCACUGUGCUGCUGCUAAGCUCCUUGUGGUGGAACCACUUUCCUAUUGCUCCUGUCUUUCUUGAAUUUAACGAAUUUAUUAUCUUCCUUGUUAACUGUGGUGCUGCAACUGUAUCUGCUGGGAACAUACUGGGUUGGUUGUCAGUGAAAAAUUGUCUCUGUUUCUGAGCCAGAGCUUUUGAAAUUUCUGAAGCGGAAAGACUCCAAGAUCUAGAUAAGAACUCCAUAGGCUCUUUUGGGGUUUGUGGUUGAGGGAUUGCUGGAAGCGAUACCACCGGUUUCAGCUGUUGGUCUUCCUCCAAAAAAUCCAGCAAAGAACCAUGCUUCCAACCAGAAUAAAACCCACUAUUCAUUGCUUCAAUUUGUAUCCCAAUAUUACAAUCGAAUCAGGAACUCUCUCUUCCUUGGGCUAUUUCUUGUAUGAUCAAUCGAUCUAUCGCAUCAAAACUUCAGUGACUACAGUGAUUCCUUUCAAUCUCAAAGGUUCCAUGCCCACUAAACAUA